rnacentral:rRNA from 1 species
GACGAACGCUGGCGGUGUGCUUAACACAUGCAAGUCGAACGGUAAGGCCCUUUCGGGGGUACACGAGUGGCGAACGGGUGAGUAACACGUGAGUAACCUGCCCUCAUCUCUGGGAUAACAGUCGGAAACGGUUGCUAAUACUGGAUAUGAGCUUGCAAGGCAUCUUGUGGGUUGGAAUGAUUUUUUUUGGUUGGGGAUGGACUCGCGGCCUAUCAGCUUGUUGGUGGGGUAGUGGCUCACCCAGGCUUCGACGGGUAGCCGGCCUGAGAGGGCGACCGGCCACAUUGGGACUGAGAUACGGCCCAAACUCCUACGGGAGGCAGCAGUGGGGAAUAUUGCACAAUGGACGGAAGUCUGAUGCAGCAACGCCGCGUGCGGGAUGACGGCCUUCGGGUUGUAAAACGCUUUCAAUUGUGACGAAGCUUUUUUGUGACGGUAGCAGUAGAAGAAGCACCGGCUAACUACGUG